AGAGUGUCAGUAAUGAUGGGCUUGGGGAAGGUACCGAAGCCAUAAACAGAACACGUAUUGAUUCGGAGAUCACUAUCGUCGGAGACAGUGGAACAAAUAGAAUCACCUCCUCUUCCGAUGCUGAUGCUAAAAAAAGGUGACCAGAGAACCAUGUCUACAGGAAUAUGGAAGAGAAAUCAACAUAUGAGCCCAUGUAAUGUGGUUUCAACUGGACAAAACAAACUCUUCCUUGGCUUCACUUACACCGCCUUCACAUGCCUUGACACAUUCUGAAAUAGAGAGUCCACCCGUCAUCUUAGUUAGUAGUGAAGUACCGUAUAAAUAAGCACUGAUCAGAAUGUAUAUACCUAUCCACUCUACACUACAUAUUUAAUUGGCUAUCGCCAGUUAAGGCUUUCCCUAUCUUUUAGUUAAGUAUGAAAGAUUUAUUGUUUGUCCAAUUCAUUUGUCUUUGAAAACACAUGAUCUGCCAUUUUCAACCACAAAAUGGUCAGCACAGUGAGCCUUUCAUCUGGAAGGUGGGUUUGCUACAUUUUUGUUCUCAUCUUGGAUUAGCUUUAAAAUACAGAAGAUUAUCCCUAAGCAUUGCCCACAUCUUUCGUGAUCAAAUUGAGGUACCCUUCCUAUAUAUUGAUUAGAACGGCAUCUAGCAGCAAAGCUUAAUGGAGUAGUAAUUUAACAUGGUGUAAUCAUGUAAGUAACUAUGCAAUGUCAGGAAAUCCUCUGACCCCUGCAAAUAAACAACAAUUGAAAGGUGUUUCAAAGUUUCUUUCCAAUGGUCUGCAUACUAAGAGAUAUUCCUAUAUGGUUACCCUAAAGCCAGUAUUUACUUCUGCUGCUCUAGGAAUUUUUUUAAAAUACUGGAGGUGAUACUUCUACUCAGAUUCAUACGGGUUGGUCCUUUUGUUGGGUUUUAAGUUGCGUGGCGUUAUUGUUGUGGAUGUAGGAUAAAAGAGAGUACUCACGCGGGCCAAAAAAGGAGGAAUGGUUUUCCUCCAUAUUGGAUAGGUUAAAGAUGGUUCUACAUUUAUUUGGUGGUAUCAUUUAUCCUAAUUUGUUGCUAUCAACUCCAGUUAUUUCACUUGUGUGAUCUCCUUGAACAUGCUAUUUUUUUAUCAGCUUAUGGGAUAUACUCCAGAAUGAAAUAAGAUAGUUUUUUCUUCGUAUUUGGUAAUUCAUUACAAUUUCGAUGUUUUUUCUUGGGUCAUGAUCUAAAUUAAGUUUUGGUUUAGUUCUCCAUUUUACCAUUAUGUUGAGAUCAGCAAACUAUUGGUACGGUUAGGCUGUCAAUAUUUUUUUUGCCUUGACUUCUGUUUCUUUGGAUUCAGAUGAACACUAUAGAAUACCACAAAAGACAUCUGCAGUAAAAUCUUAUGUUGAUGAUUUUUCAGGUUAAGUUUUCUAUUAAAAUCAAUUGGUUUCUACCUUAUACUUACUGCAUAUUGAUAUAUUACCUUUUAUUCCUUUUUACAUCACAGAAUAUGCUCUAUCUGAGUCUGAUUCUAUGGCGUUGGAUAAUGUUACUAUGCGCUCAAAGAAUUAUAUGUAUUAUCAGGGCAACACCAUCUUACAGAAAAUGACAGUUGACAAUCUUU